UAGGGAAUCUUCCACAAUGGACGAAAGUCUGAUGGAGCAACGCCGCGUGAGUGAUGAAGGGUUUCGGCUCGUAAAACUCUGUUGUUGGAGAAGAACAGGUGUCAGAGUAACUGUUGACAUCUUGACGGUAUCCAACCAGAAAGCCACGGCUAACUACGUGCCAGCAGCCGCGGUAAUACGUAGGUGGCAAGCGUUGUCCGGAUUUAUUGGGCGUAAAGCGAGCGCAGGCGGUUUCUUAGGUCUGAUGUGAAAGCCUUCGGCUUAACCGGAGAAGUGCAUCGGAAACCAGGAGACUUGAGUGCAGAAGAGGAUAGUGGAACUCCAUGUGUAGCGGUGAAAUGCGUAGAUAUAUGGAAGAACACCAGUGGCGAAGGCGGCUGUCUGGUCUGUAACUGACGCUGAGGCUCGAAAGCAUGGGUAGCGAACAGGAUUAGAUACCCUGGUAGUCCAUGCCGUAAACGAUGAGUGCUAAGUGUUGGAGGGUUUCCGCCCUUCAGUGCUGCAGCUAACGCAUUAAGCACUCCGCCUGGGGGAGUACGACCGCAAGGUUGAAAC
rnacentral:rRNA from 1 species